rnacentral:rRNA from 1 species
AGUAGUUUGAUCAUGGCUCAGGACGAACGCUGGCGGCACGCUUAACACAUGCAAGUCGAACGGAGUUUUAGAGAGCUUGCUUUUUAAAACUUAGUGGCGGACGGGUGAGUAACACGUGAGCAAUCUGCCUUUCAGAGGGGGAUAGCAGUUGGAAACGACUGAUAAUACCGCAUAACAUAUAUUUGCCGCAUGACAGAUAUAUCAAAGAUUUAUCGCUGAAAGAUGAGCUCGCGUCUGAUUAGAUAGUUGGUGAGGUAACGGCUCACCAAGUCGACGAUCAGUAGCCGGACUGAGAGGUUGAACGGCCACAUUGGGACUGAGACACGGCCCAGACUCC